UAGCAGCUCAGUUCAUCUCCUCCUGCCUCCAGAUCAAGAUGUAUCUCUGCUUCUUCUCCAGCACCGUGUCUGCCUGCACACUGCCAUGCUUCCCACAAUGAUGAUAAUGGACUACACCUCUAAAACUCAUCAUUCAGGAUGUGCUCCAUUCUGCCAACUUCAUCAACAGUCUGCACUGUUCGCUUCCAAUUCAGCCCACUGUCUCCUUGGGGAACAAGAACUGAGUAUUUUAUCUCUCUUCCCCACAUCACUGGGCCUUCCACAGACAACUCCCUCAAGAUACAGGUUCUGAGCCGACUCCCUAAGAAGACCAGCUCCUCAACAGCCCUGAGCCAGUCGUGCUGCUUGCUCUGUUCACUCUGCCGAUGAAGAAACUGAAGAGCAGGACUCCAGAGCAGCGAGAAUGAAAGGCUCAUUCCUCUCGGCAUCUCCACUGCCCUGUGAAUCCAGCUCCUCUAACACUGCUGAGUAUUUCUGAAUGUAUUGCCAACUGAAAA